UCGGGGUUCUCCAAACUCUGGCCCUCCAGAUGUUGCUGAACUACAACUUCCAUGAUUCCUUGAAUGAAACAGAUAGGCAGAGAAUCAUGGGAGUUGUGGUUCAGCAGCAUCUGGAGUGCCAGAGUUUGGAAAACCCUGG